rnacentral:lncRNA from 1 species
CUGGGCAGAAGCGGCCCCUCCCCGGCCUGGGGCUUGGGAUCUUUCCGGGAGACACCGAGGGAGACAGUAGAGGCCGCUCCUCCCUGCUGCGCGGCACCCCCACCCCCCCGCAGGGGUGGAUGGGCACCUCGGAGGCAAGCCAGGGGCUGGUGGGGGCCGGAACAGUGGCGGGAUUUCUGCAGGUGUGACCGGGGUUUCUAAUCAGGUGACUUGGCGUUCAUCAGAAGGGAGGUUGAUCUGGCCGAGCCUGGCUAGCUCAGGUGCACCCUUUAAGAGGCUGGAAGCCACAGAGCCGCCCCCUCCUGAUGCCAAAGAAGCAUAUGGCCAUCGGCUCCACAGCUGCGAGAAAGAUUAUGCACACAACGACAUGCGCUCAGGAGGGGACCUCGCGCCUCGGUUGAGAUCCCAGCCCUGGCUGACACCUUGAGUGCAGCCUGUGAGACCCUGAGCAGAGGUUCAGCAGUCCCCUCCCCGGACUCCUGCCACACAGAAGCCAUGAGGCAUCCCCAUCACACACUAGGCUUGGUGACUGCACUUGAGGGACUCACAGGACUUAGCCUACCAUCAUACUAGUGGCUGGGAUUUACUACGGUGAAAAGAUGCGACGCAGAAUUAGUAACAGGAAGAUGCAUUUGGGGUGAGGGCCGGAGGAAACCAGGUACAAGCCCCCAGAGUCCCCUCCCCUGGGGUCCCCUCCCGCAGAAUGUGCUGAAUCCUCCAGCCUCGAGCUGUGACAUGUGCAAAGUGUUCUCUACCAGGGAAGCCUGCCUGAGCCCAGGAGUCCAGGGUUUUCACUGGGGGUUGCUCAUGUAGGUACGUUGUGCCUGCGUGACUGAAUAUGGUCACCGAAAUGCCAGGCUCAGAAGAAAAGCAAGUGUUCAGCAAAUAUCACAUGAUUUGUAUAGAAAAGAGUGAGCAGUUGUUAUUUGGGGAUAGUAUUGUAUCCACAUAGGAGCUCUUUACCAGUCAAGUUCCCAGAUGCCAGCUGGGCGUGGUGGCUCAUGCCUGUAAUCCCAGCACUUUAGGAGUCCGAGGCGGGUGGAUCACUUGAGGUCGGGAGUUCGUGACCAGCCUAGCCAACAUAGCGAAACCCCGUCUCCACUAAAAAUACAAAAAUUAGCUGAGCGUGGUGGUGCGCACUUCUAAUCCCAGCUACCUGGGAUCACUCACAGUGAUCUUGCAGUGAGCCAAGAUCACACCACUGCACUCCAGCCUGGGCGACAGAGUGAGACUCCGUCUCAAAAAAAAAAAAAAAAAAAAAAAAGUUCCCAGAUGCCAGCCAAGGGUGAACCUUGCACACAGGCUGUUCUUAGGGCAGCAGUCUCAGGCCUGCUGUGUUACAUUAAUUGGUUUUGCAUGUUGAUGCAUUCCUGGGAUAAAUCUUACUUGGUCAUGGUAUAUAAUCCUUUUUUAUGUUGCUGGAUUCUGUUUGCUGGUAUUCUACGUUCCUAAGAAAUACUGGUCUGUAGUUUUCUCUUUGUGAUUCCUUUGCUUGGUUUUGAUAUCAGGGUGAUACUGGUCUUAGAGAAUGAGCUGGGGCCAAGCAUUGCGGCUCAUGCUUGUAAUGCCAGCACUUUGGGAGGCCAAGGCAGGUGGACUGAUUGAGCCCAGGAGUUGGAGACCAGCCUGGACAACAUGGGAAAACCCCGUUUCUACUAAAAAUAGAAAAAUUAGCCAGGCGUGGUGGUGCGUGCAUGUAGUCCCAGCUACUCAGGAGGGUGAGGUUCAAGUGAGCUGAGAUGGCACCACUGCACUCCAGCCUGGGUGUCAGAAUGAGACUCUGCCAGAAUGAGGUCCAUAGUAAGGUCUCAUCUUUAUUCCUGAUUUUAGUAUUUUCAGUAUUCUUGCUUUUCAAUUUUUUUGAUCUGUAGAUAGAGCUAAAUAUUUGUCAAUUUUAUUGAUCCUUAUACAGAACCAACUUUUGGUUUCAUUUAUUAUUUAUUUCCUUCCUUCUGCUUCAGUUUUUUUUUUUUUUUUUUUUUUUUUUUUGAGAUGAGUCUUGCUCUGUCGCCCAGGCUGGAGUGCAGUGGCGCAAUCUCGACUCACUGCAACCUCCACCUCCUGGGUUCAAGCAAUUCUCCUGCUACAGGCUCCCACCACCACGCCUGGCUAAUUUUUCUAUCUUUAGUAGAGAUGGGGUUUCACCAUGUUGGUCAGGCUGGUCUUGAACCCGUGGUCUCGUGAUCUACCUCCCUCGGUCUCCCAGUGUGCUGGGAUUACAGGUGUGAGCCACCACGCCCAGACUUUUAGUUCUUUUUUUUUUAGUUUUUCUAUUUUUUGUGGAGAUGAGGUCUUGCCCAUGCUAGUAUGGAACUCCUGGGCUCAAGCGAUCCUCCCACCCUAGCCACCCAAAAUGCUAGGAUUACAGGUGUGAGCCACCAUGCUUGGCCCUGUUUAUUCAUUUAGAGAUGGGAUCUUGCUCUGUCUCCCAGGCUGGAGUGCAGUGGUACAAUCAUGCUUCACUGCAGCCUCAAUCUCCCAGGUUCAAGCGAUACUACCAGCACAUGCUACCAUGACUGGCUGAGUUUUUGGCAGAGACGAGGUCUCACCAUGUUGCCCAGGCUUCUUCCUUUUUAAUAGAAGUGUUUUUAGCUAUAGAUUUCCCUCUAAGCACGGCUUUCAGUGCAUCCCAUAAGUUUUAUUUCAAAGUAUUUUAUAAUUAUCUUCUUUGGCUCAUUGUUUUGUUUGUUUUAAAUUACACACAGGGUCAUGCUCUGUUGCCCCAACUGGUUUCAAACUCCUGGGCUCAAGUGAUCCUCCUGCCUCUGCCUCCCAGAGUGUUGAGAUUACAGGCGUGAGCCACCAUGCCCAGUCUGACUCACUGGUUUCUUAUAAGUGUGUUCUUUAAUUUCUACGUAUUUCUGAGUUUCCCAAAUUUCUCUGUUUUUGAUUUGGUUUUUGUUUGUCACCUAGGCUGGAGUGCAGUGGCACAAUCUUGGCUCACUGCAACCUCUGCCUCCCGAAUAGCUUGGAUUACAUGCAUGUACCACCAUGCCUGACUAAUUUUUGUAUUUUUAGUAGAGAUGGGGUUUCACCAUGUUGGCCAGGCUGGUCUCGAACUCCUGACCUCAAAUGAUCUGCCUGCCUUGGCCUCCCAAAGUGCUGGAAUUACAAAUGAUCUGCCUGCCUUGGCCUCCCAAAGUGCUGGAAUUACAGGUAUGAGCCACUGUAUCCAGCCGUGAAAGGACUGAAAUGAUACAAAGUAUGUUCUUUGACCAUAGUGGGAUGUAAUUACAAACCAAUAACAAGGCUGGGCACAGUGGCUCUUGCCUGUAAUCCCAGCACUCGGGAGACCCGAGACAGGAGGAUCAUUUGAGGUCAGAAGUUUGAGACUCAGCCUGGCCACCAUGAUAAAACCCUAUCUCUACUGCAAAUACAAAAAUCAGCUCGGUGUGGUGGUACAUGCCUGUAAUCCCAGCUACUCAGGGGGCUGAGACAGGAGAAUUGCUUGAACCCGGAAGGUAGAGUUUGCAGUGAGCUGAGAUCAUGCCGCUGUACUCCAGCCUGGGCCACACACAGACUCCAUCUCAAAAAAUAAAAUAAUGGACUCUUGCUUUAUGGCCUGGCUGUGGUUGAGAAGAACCUGAAUUCUGCUGCUGGCAGCUUCCCUCUUGUUCUCUCUCUGUCCCAUGGCUGUCAUGUGAAGGAUGCUCAAGUGGGCCCAAGGAGGGGUCCCUAUGGUGAGGAGCAGGGCCUCCAGCCUCACUUGGGCCUUCAGAUGACUGCCACCCUGGCUGACAAAUUCUCUUCAACCUCAGGAGUCAGAACCACCCAGCCCAACCACUCCCAUAAUGUUGACCCACAAAAGCUGAGACAGCAAAUAUUUGUUGUUUUAAGCCCACUACGUUUUGUUGUAAUUGGUCAUGCACCAUUAGAUAACAAAUACAAUUACCCAUAAAUCUGCUGGCUUUCAGGAGAACACGUCUUGAAGCACAGCUGAACUUGAAUCUUUUCUGUGGAAAAAUAAUUGAAAAUAUGAAUUAAUAAUUCUUCUCUUGUUGAAGCUGACAGAACCAAGGACACACACCUUGUUAACGACGCCCUCAAGGCUGUGAGGAGAAAGACAACCGGGUGAAGCAACGCUGGGAAUUCAACGCAUCAAUUACCUUCCCAGGUAACAGCAGCUACUUGAGCUCCUAAGAGUUGACCUUCAGCUGCUGUCAUGGAAAAUAGUGGGGGUCAACUAGACAUCAAAGAUGAAAGGCCAGGCCUCCAGCACAACUUUCUCUGUAAGCUCGAUAGUGGCUUUCUCAAAGAAAUCCUUUUCUCAAAAAAAUUUCUUGUAAAGACAGGGUCUUGUUCUGUCACCCAGGCUGGACUGCAGUGCAUGGCUCACUGCAGCCUCAACCUCCCGGGCUAGAGUGAUCCUCCCCUUUUCUGAGGAGCUCAGACCACAAGCGUGCACCACUGUGCCCAGCUGAUUUAUAAACUUUUUUUUUAGAGACAGGGUUUCACCAUGUUGGCCAGGCUGUUUUCUUUCAAGGUUUCACCAUGUUGGCCAGGCUGUUUUCUUUUCUUCUCUUUUUUUGAGAUGGAGUUUCACUCUUGUUGCCCAGGCUGGAGGGCAGUGGCGCGAUCUUGGCUCACUGCAACCUCCGCCUCCCAGGUUCAAGUGAUUCUCCUGCCUCCCAAGCAGCUGGGAUUACAGCGUAGCUGGGAUUACAGGCAUGCGUCACCAUGUCCAGCUAAUUUUGUAUUUUUAGUAGAGACGGGGUUUCUCCAUGUUGAUCAGGAUGGUCUCGAACUCCUGACCUCAGGUGAUCCGCCUGCCUCAGCCUCCCAAAGUGCUGGGAUUACAGGCGUGAGCCACUGUGCCUGGCCAACUUGGAUUUGUUACUGUUAUACAGGACAUGGCCCUUAAUAUUCACAUGAAUGACAGUGAGACACACAAUGCUUUCUAAAGAUUGGUUUUGGCCGGGUGUGGUGGUGCACACCUGUAAUCCCAGUUACUCGGGAGGCUGAGGCAGGAGAAUCACUUGAACCCAGGAGGCAGAGGUUGCAGUGAGCCAAGAUGGCUCCAUUGCACUCCAGCCUGGGCAACAAGAGCAAAACUCUGACUCAAGAAAAAAAAAAGGUUGGGCACAGUGACUCACGCCUGUAAUCCUAGCACUUUGGGAGGCCAAGACAGGCGGAUCACGAGGUCAGAAGAUCAAGACCAUCCUGGCUAACAUGGUGAAACCCCGUCUCUACUAAAAAUACAAAAAAUUAGCUGGGCUUGGUGGCAGGCACCUGUAGUCCCAGCUACUCGGGAGGCUGAGGCAGGAGAAUGGUGUGAACCCGGGAGGCGGAGCUUGCAGUGAGCCGAGAUCGCGCCAGUGCACUCCAGCCUGGGCAACAGAGCAAGACUCAGUCUCAAAAAAAAAAAAAAAAAAAAAAACAAAGACUGGUUUCACAUUCUGUUUAUAUGAAUAAUUUGUGUGUGCACAAAAGCAGUCUGCUCAGUGGGUGCCUGGCCUGGGGCAUCAGUUCUGAGCUGGAAGAGAUGAGGAUGCCCACAGCCCUGCCUCUGCCCCACAGCCUGCCUGUACCUGGGUCCUCCUGCUGGGCCGUGGUGGGGAGCCGCUCCCGUUGCCUCAAGGCCUCCAGGCCUGCCAGGUCAGGCUGAUGGCAGUGG